CCUGGCGGCAGUAGCGCGGUGGUCCCACCUGACCCCAUGCCGAACUCAGAAGUGAAACGCCGUAGCGGCGAUGGUAGUGUGGGGUCUCCCCAUGCGAGAGUAGGGAACUGCCAGGC
rnacentral:rRNA from 1 species